UAAUACAUGUGGGGCAAGCGUUGUUCGGAAUUACUGGGCAUAAAGGGUGCGUAGGCGGCAUGUUAAGUCAGGGGUGAAAUCCCACGGCCCAACCGUGGAACUGCCUUUGAUACUGGCGUGCUUGAGUGCGUGAGGGGUAACCGGAACGAGUCGUGUAGCGGUGAAAUGCGUAGAUAUGACUCGGAAGGCCAAAGGCGAAGGCAGGUUACUGGUACGCAACUGACGCUGAGGCACGAAAGCGUGGGGAGCAAACAGGAUUAGAUACCCUGGUAGUCCACGCCGUAAACGAUGAGCACUAGGUCGAUGCCACGCUACGUGGUGUCGGCCGCAGACAAUUUAUUAAGUGCUCCGCCUGGGGAGUAUGGUCGCAAGGCUG
rnacentral:rRNA from 1 species